AUGCCACUCGAGCGGAUUUCACAUCUUCUGAUGUGGGGUUAUCGGCGGACGGGUGAGUAACACGUGGAAACAUGCCCUUUACUGUGGGAUAGUCACUGGAAACGGUGGAUAAUACCACAUACGCCCUACGGGGGAAAGAUUUAUCGGUAAAGGAUUGGUCCGCGUUGGAUUAGGUUGUUGGUGGGGUAAUGGCCUACCAAGCCGACGAUCCAUAGCUGGUCUGAGAGGACGAUCAGCCACACUGGGACUGAGAUACGGCCCAGACUCCUACGGGAGGCAGCAGUGAGGAAUAUUAGACAAUGGGGGAAACCCUGAUCUAGCCAUGCCGCGUGAUUGAUGAAGGCCUUAGGGUUGUAAAAAUCUUUCGCUAGGGAUGAUAAUGACAGUACCUAGUAAAGAAGCCCCGGCUAACUCCGUGCCAGCAGCCGCGGUAAUACGGAGGGGGCUAGCGUUGUUCGGAAUUACUGGGCGUAUAGCGCGCGUAGGCUGAUUACUCAAUCAGGGGUGAAAUCCCGGAGCUCAACUCCGGAACUGCCCUUGAUACUGGUAAUCUAGAGGUCGAGAGAGGU
rnacentral:rRNA from 1 species